UCAAAGUAAACCUGGUUAAAGUUACCUGUUAGGACAUCCAAAAGUUAUAAAAAAUGACCUGUGUUACACAAAAAACAAAGCACAAACAAGUGCUUAACAACAUCUAAAUACCUCAUAUUAAAUAGCAUAACAUUUCAAAUGUCCCGCAUUCAUGCUAACUGAUACUGAAAUUCAACCGGUACUAUAAAUCAUAAUAAAUAACAACCAUAAUUUGGAAUCAACUGUUGCUAAGCAACCAGUAGGGCCAAUGAUUUAUGCAAAUGAAAAGUUCCUCGUAAUGCACCAGCCUAAAAUAACAAACGGCACCUAAACAUACAGUGUACGAUACUCGUAAAUUGGGCAACUUCUAGAAUUCCCACGAUGAAGAUUACAAUACAUUCUAGACUAGUAUAUAUAUAAAUUAAAGCUGUUUUCGACAC
rnacentral:lncRNA from 1 species